rnacentral:rRNA from 2 species
GACGAACGCUGGCGGCGUGCCUAAUACAUGCAAGUCGAACGAACUCUGGUAUUGAUUGGUGCUUGCAUCAUGAUUUACAUUUGAGUGAGUGGCGAACUGGUGAGUAACACGUGGGAAACCUGCCCAGAAGCGGGGGAUAACACCUGGAAACAGAUGCUAAUACCGCAUAACAACUUGGACCGCAUGGUCCGAGUUUGAAAGAUGGCUUCGGCUAUCACUUUUGGAUGGUCCCGCGGCGUAUUAGCUAGAUGGUGGGGUAACGGCUCACCAUGGCAAUGAUACGUAGCCGACCUGAGAGGGUAAUCGGCCACAUUGGGACUGAGACACGGCCCAAACUCCUACGGGAGGCAGCAGUAGGGAAUCUUCCACAAUGGACGAAAGUCUGAUGGAGCAACGCCGCGUGAGUGAAGAAGGGUUUCGGCUCGUAAAACUCUGUUGUUAAAGAAGAACAUAUCUGAGAGUAACUGUUCAGGUAUUGACGGUAUUUAACCAGAAAGCCACGGCUAACUACGUGCCAGCAGCCGCGGUAAUACGUAGGUGGCAAGCGUUGUCCGGAUUUAUUGGGCGUAAAGCGAGCGCAGGCGGUUUUUUAAGUCUGAUGUGAAAGCCUUCGGCUCAACCGAAGAAGUGCAUCGGAAACUGGGAAACUUGAGUGCAGAAGAGGACAGUGGAACUCCAUGUGUAGCGGUGAAAUGCGUAGAUAUAUGGAAGAACACCAGUGGCGAAGGCGGCUGUCUGGUCUGUAACUGACGCUGAGGCUCGAAAGUAUGGGUAGCAAACAGGAUUAGAUACCCUGGUAGUCCAUACCGUAAACGAUGAAUGCUAAGUGUUGGAGGGUUUCCGCCCUUCAGUGCUGCAGCUAACGCAUUAAGCAUUCCGCCUGGGGAGUACGGCCGCAAGGCUGAAACUCAAAGGAAUUGACGGGGGCCCGCACAAGCGGUGGAGCAUGUGGUUUAAUUCGAAGCUACGCGAAGAACCUUACCAGGUCUUGACAUACUAUGCAAAUCUAAGAGAUUAGACGUUCCCUUCGGGGACAUGGAUACAGGCGGUGCAUGGUUGUCGUCAGCUCGUGUCGUGAGAUGUUGGGUUAAGUCCCGCAACGAGCGUAACCCUUAUUAUCAGUUGCCAGCAUUAAGUUGGGCACUCUGGUGAGACUGCCGGUGACAAACCGGAGGAAGGUGGGGAUGACGUCAAAUCAUCAUGCCCCUUAUGACCUGGGCUACACUCGUGCUACAAUGGAUGGUACAACGAGUUGCGAACUCGCGAGAGUAAGCUAAUCUCUUAAAGCCAUUCUCAGUUCGGAUUGUAGGUUGCAACUCGCCUACAUGAAGUCGGAAUCGCUAGUAAUCGCGGAUCAGCAUGCCGCGGUGAAUACGUUCCCGGGCCUUGUACACACCGCCCGUCACACCAUGAGAGUUUGUAACACCCAAAGUCGGUGGGGUAACCUUUUAGGAACCAGCCGCCUAAGGUGGGACAGAUGAUUAGGGUG